UACGAAGGGGGCUAGCGUUGCUCGGAAUCACUGGGCGUAAAGCGCACGUAGGCGGCUUUUUAAGUCAGGGGUGAAAUCCUGGAGCUCAACUCCAGAACUGCCUUUGAUACUGAGAAGCUUGAGUCCGGGAGAGGUGAGUGGAACUGCGAGUGUAGAGGUGAAAUUCGUAGAUAUUCGCAAGAACACCAGUGGCGAAGGCGGCUCACUGGCCCGGUUCUGACGCUGAGGUGCGAAAGCGUGGGGAGCAAACAGG
rnacentral:rRNA from 1 species